AUAUCCAUGUUGUGGCGCUGAAUUCUUUCCACAAGUCGGGUACCUAAUUGCACUAGUCCGAUUUCUCAACCUUCGCAUUUCGUGCCUCCUUAGCAAUUGGACCUUUCAAGUAUUCGUGCCCAGGUAAUUCUUGAAGAACUCGUGAACGUCUCUUAGUCAAAAAUCACUGUCAUCAUCCUGUAAUCAUUUGGGAGCUUCGACAGCUCUCUACGGAGCCUACGCCCGCUUUGUAAACC
rnacentral:sRNA from 1 species